UGCAGUUGAAUUUUCAGAAGUCAACGAAAUUGCUUGAGGAAGAAAUGAGUCGGCUAACGGAGAAAAUCCACAGGACGUCUAGCUCGCCCGUUGAGCCUCCAUUCCCCAAAGCACCUUAACACCGUGGCUACACCAGACGCGGAAACUCUGCUUUGCGGACGCGGUGUGAACGCAGCAGAAUUCGAAACCGUUGAAAGCAAUGAGAUUGGCUACACCAGACGCUGAAACUGAGGCCGUUUCUGAAAUGGCAUACUACAUACUGCUCGUAUACUGAUCGUGACGUAAAAGUAUAUACAUCCAGAGCUCACUACGUCGGAUACUGUAUCCCAUAAUGCAACGCGGCACCGUUGGAAAAAAACCGUUGAACAUUUCGAAUAAUGGCGGCGGAAAAUGCGAGCGAUGAAUAUAAAUGGACUGAUGUAGACACCGCAGCUCUCAUCAGUUGGAGAUCUACGAAUGAGGGCAUGUUCACGGGCAGGAGGAAUGCGGCGCAGAAGGGGUUCGACAUGCUGCAUUUCAUUGUUGUCGGGGAGAUCCUGUGGAAAGUCUCCUGGCUCCACAAAGUCUCCAUUUGAUAGGCACAAGUUGUGGAGGAAGACACAGCAGGACACCACCACUGGGGCAAAGGUUGACUUUACCUAUGUGCAGAGAUGGGCAGUAUUUUAAAUUAGAUGUAUUUAAAAUAUGCAUUUAAUUACUUUUGAGUAUCUUAUUCAACAUAAGACAAAAAUAGAAACUAAUCUGUAACAGACAGAUAUUGCAUGCCAAGGAAAGCUACUGAAUAACAGUGAAAUACAAGCAUUUUCUCAUAUUGUCAUUUUAUGCUCAUUUAAAUUUCAUAAGCAUUU
ensembl:lncRNA